rnacentral:tRNA from 1 species
GAUUCCAUAGUGUAGCGGUCAGCACGUCUGCUUUACACGCAGAAGGUCCUGGGUUCAUGCCCCAGUGGAGCCA